UAUUAUCUUGAGAGGAGGUGUAUUUGUGAAGCAAGAUGAACAAGGCACUGCUCUGCUUCUUUUUAGUGGCAGUUGUCGUUUCCUGCACCAAGUGAAGCGUCUAUGUGGAGCUUUCCUGGAGUUCGAAAUCACGUUAGAUGCCUCGCUCAGUGCAACCCUGUAGGAGGAAAUGACACCCAAUGUGCCGAGGGAUGCACGUGCCGUCAUAAGGUGGACCAACCGGAAUAUAUUGGAACCUGCUUGGUGACCGAAAUUGACCCACCGCCGAUGUUCGAGUGAUUUCUUUGUUCCGGAGAUAAGAAUCGUAGUUGAUAAAACGACGGGUAAUCAGUAAAGCUGCCUUUGUGGCC
rnacentral:lncRNA from 1 species